ensembl:rRNA 5S_rRNA 5S ribosomal RNA
GUCAGCAGCCAUAUCACACUGCAACUCACCACUAGCAGCCCACUGAAGCUAAGCAGGUGUGAGCCUGGUCAGUACCUGGAUGGGAGACCGCCUGGGAAAACUAAGGUUGCUGCUGGAA